AUUGAACGCUGGCGGCAUGCCUUACACAUGCAAGUCGAACGGCAGCACGGACUUCGGUCUGGUGGCGAGUGGCGAACGGGUGAGUAAUGUAUCGGAACGUACCUUUCAGUGGGGGAUAACGUAGCGAAAGUUACGCUAAUACCGCAUAUUCUGUGAGCAGGAAAGCAGGGGAUCGAAAGACCUUGCGCUGAUUGAGCGGCCGAUAUCAGAUUAGCUAGUUGGUGGGGUAAAGGCCUACCAAGGCGACGAUCUGUAGCGGGUCUGAGAGGAUGAUCCGCCACACUGGAACUGAGACACGGUCCAGACUCCUACGGGAGGCAGCAGUGGGGAAUUUUGGACAAUGGGGGCAACCCUGUUCCAGCCAUGCCGCGUGAGUGAAGAAGGCCUUCGGGUUGUAAAGCUCUUUCGGCCGGGAAGAAAUCGCAUAGGCUAAUACCCUGUGUGGAUGACGGUACCGGAAUAAGAAGCACCGGCUAACUACGUG
rnacentral:rRNA from 1 species